UGGGGAAUAUUGCACAAUGGAGGAAACUCUGAUGCAGCGACGCCGCGUGAGCGAAGAAGUAUUUCGGUAUGUAAAGCUCUAUCAGCAGGGAAGAAAAUGACGGUACCUGACUAAGAAGCCCCGGCUAACUACGUGCCAGCAGCCGCGGUAAUACGUAGGGGGCAAGCGUUAUCCGGAUUUACUGGGUGUAAAGGGAGCGUAGACGGCAGCGCAAGUCUGAUGUGAAACUCCGGGGCUCAACCCCGGAACUGCAUUGGAAACUGUACUGCUAGAGUGCCGGAGGGGUAAGCGGAAUUCCUAGUGUAGCGGUGAAAUGCGUAGAUAUUAGGAGGAACACCAGUGGCGAAGGCGGCUUACUGGACGGUAACUGACGUUGAGGCUCGAAAGCGUGGGGAGCAAACAGGAUUAGAUACCCUGGUA
rnacentral:rRNA from 1 species